GGGCGAGCCCCUCGGCGGCCGGGCCGGAAAGAAAUACAGAUGCAAAAGCAAGACCUGGAUAAAUGAGACAAGUAUUGUUCCUUCAAGCAGAACGUCCUGACUUCAAGACAGGGCAGACACAGCUGUGCUCCAUAUGGGGAACAUCCAUAGCCACAGUCCUAUCACGUGGCUCCCAAGCAUGUGCCUGGGCUCCCCUAUUUAUGUCUGGGAAAUCCCAAGCCAUGCACCACACGAACAGGAAAUCCAGUGUGUGGGAAACACAAACAACACAGAUGGUCAGCGAGUGCACAGAACACCCCAGGCACUCUGGUAAAUAUUGGGCUCCCCAAGAGAGGUGGGCCUUACGGUGCUUUGCACAGGGACAGCAGAAAGGCUCCAAGACUUACUGUCCAUAUGUUUUUCAAUUGUCCUUUGGGUUUCAGGUAGGUCUGAGCUCUAUUAAACAGCAUCGAUUAAAUAACAUAACGUGUGGUUUGUGCACCCAGCGUGUCUCCAACACGCCACACUCAUUGACCACGUGUUCUGCUGACAAACUGCAUGUGCGUUUGUCCGUGGCUUCCAGAUGUCAACCAGACUGUUGAGAAUGAUUGUGCUGAGUGAGGGACUGUACGCUGUGCCAAGGAUUGCUGAUAUGAGGAAAAGGAUGACAGGGUAGAGCAACCCUUAGUUCUCCAAUGAAUCUCCUCCUAUACAAUGCAGGAAAACAGGCUUUACAGCAAAUAGGAGCAGAGGGAAGCUUCUAGGAGGAUCAGAGAAAAGGAAAAUCCACCUCAUGAGAUGAGACUGAGCACCUAAUAAACAGG
ensembl:lncRNA